rnacentral:lncRNA from 1 species
GCUGGGCGUGGUGGCGCACGCCUGUAGUCCCAGCUACUCAGGAGGCUGAGGCAGGAGAAUUGCUUGAACCUGGGAGGUGGAAGUUGCAGUGAGCCGAGAUCGCACCACUGCACUCUAGCCUGGGCAACAGAGCAAGACUCCAUCUCAACAACAACAACAACAAAAAAAAAAAAAAAAAAAAAAAAAAAAAAAAAAAAACAAAAAAAAAGGGGGGGGGG